rnacentral:rRNA from 1 species
GACAGAGGGGGCAAGCGUUGCUCGGAAUCACUGGGCGUAAAGGGCGCGUAGGCGGGAUGGCAAGUCGGUCGUGAAAUCUCUCGGCUCAACCGAGAAACGUCGGCCGAUACUGCCGUUCUUGAGGGAUGCAGAGGAGACUGGAAUUCCCGGUGUAGCGGUGAAAUGCGUAGAUAUCGGGGAGGAACACCGGUGGCGAAGGCGGCCCCCUGGUUGGAUACUGACG